rnacentral:lncRNA from 1 species
ACGUCUCAUCGAAAAUACAAACCGCCGUCGGUUAAUUAAUUCCGAGAUGCAAUUUUUUUGCCGCACAUCAAGGGGCUAUUGGGCCGGAACCAUUCGCACGGAUGGAGGCGACGUGGAUGGAGAUGACGUGGCUCAAUCUGGGACAGGUGCAUCGAAUCGUCGGAUCGAGGAAGGGCCCAGGCACUGCCAUGUGUCAACAUCCGAAAAACCCUCGUUCGACAUGCUUUCAACUCGACCGUUGAAGGGCCUUAUAUAUAU